CAAUCAAAAAUGCAAAAAACAAAGCAGUGGAGUGGAGAGAGAUUGUGGGGUAGGGUAGGGUUUAAGAAGAGCAAGGCAGGCAGGCAGGCAGGGGAGGGAGAAAUGGCAAGUCACUGCAAAUUUUGGCUCCCCAAGAAGAAGAGAUUUUGUGCAAACUCCCCUCUCUUUGAUUCUCCAUUCUGCGGGAACCACACCCAGAGGUCUGAUGCACACUGGAUUCCCUGCCCAAUCGACCCUUCUCACUCUGUGCUUGAGGAAAAUCUUCAAAGUCACUUGAACAGAUGCCCAUUGCUCAAACAAGCUCAGUCUCUCUCGUGUCAACCUUUCUACAAAAAGGGAAUUAAUGCUGGCAGAGAAGAUGAAGAGGAAGAAGGAGAAGAAAUGGACGUCCUCCCCAAAGAUUCUAUCGUUACUUCGGAGAUGAAAAGGAGUGCGGUCUAUGCCAUGUCCGCGCCCAAAUUCUUGGAAUUGAUUGCUAAGAUCAAGUCCGUUCAUGCAUCGAUAUGCAAUAGCAUUCCAGAUUCUUUCAGGAUUCCAGAAGCUUGUAGCAUUUGGACUAAUAGAAAAGUUGACAAGAAAUUACCGUAUCAGGAGAAGCAUGUUUUACAGCAGGCUUCAAUUCUUGGGAAUUUAGAAGAGUUUGGGGUGUUAAGAAAGGCUUCUUUGAUUUCUAAUGCAACAACUGAGCAGUGUGAUUCUAAUAGAGAGUCUGAGAUGGAUGCUGAUGUUUCUGCAGUGGUUGAGUUUGGAGCUGGAAGAGGCUACUUGACACAGAUGCUUGCUGAUUGUUAUGGGAUCAAGAAGGUGUUAUUGGUCGAGCGCAAGUCAUAUAAGUUGAAAGCUGAUCGGAGUUUGCGACAGAAAGAGAGCUUAGUAUUAGAGAGGUUGAGAAUUGACAUUGAGGAUCUGAAUCUGAAUGCUGUAGAAUCAUUACAAGGAGUAGGCUAUAUGGCAAUUGGCAAACACCUCUGUGGACCUGCAACAGAUGUGACCUUAAGAUGCUGCAUUCGCCAAUGCUCCAAUGAAAAUACUGAUGCUCAGUCCCAGGCCAGUUGUUACCUGCGAGGCUUAGCUAUUGCUACAUGUUGCCAUCAUCUCUGCCAGUGGAAAAAUUACAUAAAUAAGAGAUAUAUAUCUGAAUUGGGUUUCUCAAAGGAAGAUUUCAAUGCCAUUUCAUGGUUUACCAGCUGGGCAGUUGAUGCAGAUCAUGGCGCAGAAUUUUCUGUCACCAAUUGCUCGGCCCAACUUGAGAUCAUGUUGCUCCACUCCUCCUACAGGAGUGAGAAGAAAAAGGGGUGGAUGGAGUCAGAAUUAUGCGGAGUUGGAGAUAUAGUGAGGAGUAUGCAGGGCAUUGAUAGGGCAGCGUUGGGGUACAUGUGCAAGGAUAUCAUUGAUGGUGGAAGGCUGAUGUGGGUCAAGGCACAAGGAUUAAAAUCGGAGCUUGUCAAGUAUGUUCCUAGUAGCAUUUCUCCUGAAAACCACCUCUUGGUUGCCAGUUUAAUGAUUGGUUGACAAGAGACGCAUGGGAGAGGAAUCAGGAAUGUGAUUGCAAAACAUGAAAAGAAAAGGUUGUAUUGAGAAUGUCACGCCCACGCAUUCUAGUGAAGCAACUUCUUCUCUAUCAUUAUCUGCCUCUCUGCUGCAUAUCUGCUCCACUACUUGGGAGUGACUUCCACUGCAACUCGCCUCUCC